UACGGAGGAUGCAAGCGUUAUCCGGAAUGAUUGGGCGUAAAGCGUCCGCAGGUGGCUGUGUAAGUCUGCUGUUAAAGAGUGAGGCUCAACCUCAUAAAAGCAGUGGAAACUACACGGCUAGAGUGCGUUCGGGGCAGAGGGGAAUUCCUGGUGUAGCGGUGAAAUGCGUAGAUAUCAGGAAGAACACCGGUGGCGAAAGCGCUCUGCUAGGCCGCAACUGACACUGAGGGACGAAAGCUAGGGGAGCGAAUGGG
rnacentral:rRNA from 1 species